GAUGAACGCUGGCGGCGUGCCUAAUACAUGCAAGUCGAGCGAACAGACGAGGAGCUUGCUCCUCUGACGUUAGCGGCGGACGGGUGAGUAACACGUGGAUAACCUACCUAUAAGACUGGGAUAACUUCGGGAAACCGGAGCUAAUACCGUAUAACAUGUUGAACCGCAUGGUUCAACAGUGAAAGACGGUCUUGCUGUCACUUAUAGAUGGAUCCGCGCCGCAUUAGCUAGUUGGUAAGGUAACGGCUUACCAAGGCAACGAUGCGUAGCCGACCUGAGAGGGUGAUAGGCCACACUGGAACGGAAACACGGUCCAGACUCCUACGGGAGGCAGCAGUAGGGAAUCUUCCGCAAUGGGCGAAAUCCUGACGGAGCAACGCAGCGUGAGUGAAGAAGGUCUUCGGAUCGUAAAACUCUGUUAUUAGGGAAGAACAAAUGUGUAAGUAACUAUGCACGUCUUGACGGUACCUAAUCAGAAAGCCACGGCUAACUACGUG
rnacentral:rRNA from 1 species